AGCAGCCGCGGUAAUUCCAGCUCCAAUAGCGUAUAUUAAAGUUGCUGCAGUUAAAAAGCUCGUAGUUGAAUUUCGGGAUCAAUAUGUUGGUCGUGCCUCGGUACGUACUAGCUUAUUGGUUUCUUCCUUCUGACGAACCAUAAUGUCAUUUAUUUGGUGUUAUGGGGAAUCAGGACUGUUACUUUGAAAAAUUAGAGUGUUUAAAGCAGGCUCACGCUUGAAUACAUUAGCAUGGAAUAAUGAAAUAGGACGUUUGAUUCUAUUUUGUUGGUUUCUAGGAUCGACGUAAUGAUUAAUAGGGAUAGUUGGGGGCAUUAGUAUUCAAUUGUCAGAGGUGAAAUUCUUGGAUUUAUUGAAGACUAACUACUGCGAAAGCAUUUGCCAAGGAUGUUUUCAUUAAUCAAGAACGAAAGUUAGGGGAUCGAAGACGAUCAGAUACCGUCGUAGUCUUAACCAUAAACUAUGCCGACUAGGGAUCGGAUGAUGUUAAUUUUUAAUGACUCAUUCGGCGCCUUAAC
rnacentral:sRNA from 1 species